rnacentral:rRNA from 1 species
CGCAUCUGUGCAUGCAGCAUAUCAAUAAGCGGAGGAAAAGAAACUAACAAGGAUUCCCCUAGUAACGGCGAGUGAAGCGGGAAGAGCUCAAAUUUGAAAUCUUAAAGGGUUUCCCUUUACGAAUUGUAGUUUAAAGAAGUGUUUUCUGUUGAGGUUUUGGUAAAAGUUCUUUGGAAUAGGACAUCAUAGAGGGUGAGAAUCCCGUAUUUGACCUUUACUUUCAACUUUGUGAUACACUUUCAAAGAGUCGGAUUGUUUGGGAAUGCAGUCCAAAAUGGGUGGUAAAUUUCAUCUAAAGCUAAAUAUUGGCGAGAGACCGAUAGCGAACAAGUACCGUGAGGGAAAGAUGAAAAGAACUUUGAAAAGAGAGUUAAACAGUACGUGAAAUUGUCAAAAGGGAAGCGUUUGACACCAGUGUUGUUUUUCUGAAAAUCAAUUAAAGAACUGUUUAUGCUAAGUUGUUUAGACUUUAUCAGCUAUACUGCUUUAGUUUUGAGCUUUUCUUUAAUGCACUUUUCAGUUAACAAGUCAACAUCAAUUUCUUUUGCUGUAAAAAAGCUUGAGGAAGGUGGCUUGAGAUUCGUCUUAAGUGUUUAUAGCCUCUUGCCUAUGCAGUCGGAGAGAUUGAGGUCUGCAGCGUAGAUCCUUCGGGGCUAAAUGCAUUUGUGCUAAGUUAUAGCAUUUUAUAGACAACUUGUUGACUAUGAUUUGUCUUGUAGCUUACUCGCUUAUGUUAUUUUACCUACGCUUAGGAUGUUGAGCGCAUGUCUCUCUCU